rnacentral:rRNA from 1 species
GACGAACGCUGGCGGCGUGCUUAACACAUGCAAGUCGAACGGAAAGGCCCUGCUUUUGUGGGGUGCUCGAGUGGCGAACGGGUGAGUAACACGUGAGUAACCUGCCCUUGACUUUGGGAUAACUUCAGGAAACUGGGGCUGAUACCGGAUAGGAGCUCCUGCUGCAUGGUGGGGGUUGGAAAGUUUCGGCGGUUGGGGAUGGACUCGCGGCUUAUCAGCUUGUUGGUGGGGUAGUGGCUUACCAAGGCUUUGACGGGUAGCCGGCCUGAGAGGGUGACCGGCCACAUUGGGACUGAGAUACGGCCCAGACUCCUACGGGAGGCAGCAGUGGGGAAUAUUGCACAAUGGGCGGAAGCCUGAUGCAGCAACGCCGCGUGCGGGGUGACGGCCUUCGGGUUGUAAACCGCUUUCGCCUGUGACGAAGCGUGAGUGACGGUAAUGGGUAAAGAAGCACCGGCUAACUACGUG